UCGAUAUCGCACGGACGACUCCACCGACAGUGUUGGCUGAUCGGGGGGGGGGGGGAGGGUCGGUGCAAAGUCAAAAUCAUCGCCUCCGGAAACUGGAAUCAAUCGAGAAAUAAUAGCCAUUUACUGCCUGCUUGUUCCAGCAAUCUUCCCCCGAAGAAUCCUCCCUGUUCUUGGCUUUCGUUAAAGUACUACCCUCCCAUGGAAUUCUUUAAGUUAUUGUGAUUUUCCUCAUAAUUAUUUGGCCCACCUGAAAAGACAGCAAAGGGGGAAAAGGGCGACUCUUCUGCCUUCGACUUCUUGAUCGGAUUUUAGGCUGCAAGUGUUGAUGUUGCAGUACAAGCCUUAACCUAUCUUUUUCGGAAAGGAAGAGAGGAGGAAGUUAGGGUUUCGAUCUGCCAGACAUAGAUGGCCAUGCGGUGGAGCUUGGUCAUUUACUUCAUGAGCGUGGUAUGGGCGGCACUCAAUGGUUGGGUCUCUGCGUGUUUGAUGGUCGCCGACGAGAUCGCCCGGGGUCUCAGGGCCGGCGACAUCGGCCCGCUACCUAUAGGUUGACCAACGUCGCCGAGCCACGGAAGAAACGUAAUCACUUGCAUUUAAGACACCGAGAGUCUGACCUAGAGAAGAAAAGGAAUCAAAACCAACAGGCUAUGCGUAUGCGUUCCUGAUUUCUUUGGUGAGUUGAGUAUUGGUAAGUUUGUGUCAAGCAAUCGAAAGAGAAGGGUGCUGUAAUUUGAGUUUUACGUCAGAGCUAUAAGAAACACCGAGAAACUUUGCUGUGA